AGAGCUUGCUUUAAAGAAGUUAGCGGCGGACGGGUGAGUAACACGUGGGCAACCUGCCUGUAAGACUGGGAUAACUUCGGGAAACCGGAGCUAAUACCGGAUAAUAUAUAGUACCUCCUGGUACUAUAUUGAAAGAUGGCCUCUAGCUAUCACUUACAGAUGGGCCCGCGGCGCAUUAGCUAGUUGGUGAGGUAACGGCUCACCAAGGCAACGAUGCGUAGCCGACCUGAGAGGGUGAUCGGCCACACUGGGACUGAGACACGGCCCAGACUCCUACGGGAGGCAGCAGUAGGGAAUCUUCCACAAUGGACGAAAGUCUGAUGGAGCAACGCCGCGUGAGCGAUGAAGGCCUUCGGGUCGUAAAGCUCUGUUGUUAGGGAAGAACAAGUGCGAGAGUAACUGCUCGCACCUUGACGGUACCUAACCAGAAAGCCACGGCUAACUACGUGCCAGCAGCCGCGGUAAUACGUANNUGGCAAGCGUUGUCCGGAAUUAUUGGGCGUAAAGCGCGCGCANGCGGUUUCUUAAGUCUGAUGUGAAAGCCCACGGCUNNNCCGUGGAGGGUCAUUGGAAACUGGGAGAC
rnacentral:rRNA from 1 species